CAAAACCUGAUCAUUUCCUUCAUUGUCGGUGAUGGAAUCCGGCCUCAUCACCCACAAGAACCUCUGCGCACUGUCGAGCAAGCCGUGCCAGAACUCUAACACUUGCUCUCUCGUCACAACCGUUAUGCUCCCAAAGCUCACAUAAAUGACAGAUUUAGACGGCUGCGCAUCCAACCAAUCGAUGCAGCUCCGGUCUUCCGCCCAUAGACUCGCCUUGAUGAUUGACACCUGUGCCUUCUUCUUCAUCAGUCUAGAUUUCACUUGCUCGUGGAUUGGACCAAUGGAGAAAANNNNNNNNNNNNNNNNNNNNNNNNNNNNNNNNNNNNNNNNNNNNNNNNNNNNNNNNNNNNNNNNNNNNNNNNNNNNNNNNNNNNNNNNNNNNNNNNNNNNNNNNNNNNNNNNNNNNNNNNNNNNNNNNNNNNNNNNNNNNNNNNNNNNNNNNNNNNNNNNNNNNNNNNNNNNNNNNNNNNNNNNNNNNNNNNNNNNNNNNNNNNNNNNNNNNNNNNNNNNNNNNNNNNNNNNNNNNNNNNNNNNNNNNNNNNNNNNNNNNNNNNNNNNNNNNNNNNNNNNNNNNNNNNNNNNNNNNNNNNNNNNNNNNNNNNNNNNNNNNNNNNNNNNNNNNNNNNNNNNNCAAGGUUCACGGGAACGGAGGGUGUAGAAUAUAUAUGGUGUAUCUGACCUUGGAAAGGAAUUUCUUGAGCUUCAAGCAGCUGAGGACAGCAAAACAUAGCCCAGUAGAAGGCGGCGCUAGCAGUUUGGAAGAGGAUGUACGGAAGCUGAUGCUCUCUCGCAAACUCGGGGGCGAACCUCAUAGCAUCGGCAACGAAGCAACUCACGCGUCUACGGGCGGCGCCGCCCAAGAAAUUCUCGUCGAGCAUCAUUUUCUUGAAGAGCGGCACCGUGACUUUUUCCAUGGAGAAGAUGAGGUCCAGGGCUCUCUCCCCGGCGCGGGGGUGGUCGUCGGGGAGGCCGUCGGGGAGAGUGCGGAACUGGAACCCCGGGUAGCGGGCGAAGACGGCGAGGGCGGUGGUGUGCUCGAGGAGGCGGCGGUGGUUGAAGUCGGAGAUGAUGAAGGUGACGUGGAAGUCGAAUAAGCAGAAGAGAUGCGCGAGAUUGAGCAUGGGGCUGAGAUGGCCCAGAAGUGGAAAAGGGAAAAUCAGCACGUGCGGCGGCAGAUCUUUACCUUGUUCAGAGCUCAUCUUCUUCCAAUCUGAUCUAGGAAUUUAAAAGCUUUUGUUUUCGUUUCUGAGUCUUGCAAUUAUCAGAUGAAAUGAAUUAUUGAAUUGAGGCACAAACUCAUUCUCCCACUUUUGAUGUCCCACCACUUAUUCCAUUAUCUAUCCUUGUGAUUUGAAUUAUUGGUUUAAUGAUUGGAGAAAAAAAGUCUUAUUAACUGAGUUGUGUUUCACUAUCUUAUUCUAACACUAUUUUAAGGCAAGACACUUUCACUUCUCACAAUACACUUUUUUUUUUUUUAAGGUAAAUAAGAUAAAUAAAAGGGGUACUUAACCCAAAAGGUACAUAAGAGCAUAUUACAUGACAAGUUAGAACUUGGAAGGAAAACAACGGAUCGGAUCAACAAACCAAUCGUGAACCGAACAACAAAAGUUACUAGACAACAUCGCCUUAAUCCUUCUCCAAGAGCAAAAGAUAAUGUUAUCCACAGCCGAAUCAACGCAUCUAUUUUUAAAGAUUCUCUCAUUUCGAGCUUUCCAACUCCAACAAGCACAUUGCCAGAUCAUGUUAAACAUCGAUUUUUCCAUCUUGUUCUUGCCAUUCACAAUACACUUACAUAUUUUUAUAAAACUUAUGUCACUCACGCAAAUCGAAGCGAGUAAUAAAACAACACAAAUUAAUUCUCCUAUGAGAUUGAGUGUAUGGGUGAGACGGGUCGGGUCGAGGUUGGUUAAUAAUUUAAAAUAAUUAUUGUUGUGAUGAAAAGUAAUAUAUAUCUUGAAAAAUACAUGUCAUCAACUUUUUUAUAUAAGGUUCAUUAUUAUUUAUGAAUAAUUUGUUUUUGUUGAAUUUUGGAGACGGCUGAAAUCAUUAUUUUUUUAUAAAAAACAAGCAACAGAAACAUUUAUAUAUAGAUGCCUUAAAAGUUGAUUUCUAAUUAAGGCUUAAAUAGAAUAAAAAAACAAUUAUGUACUGAGUUGGUUCUCUAUUUUAAUGGGCCCAUUGAGGAAAUUUUCAGACAACACUACGACAGGCUUGACAAAAUAAAUUGCCAUUGUAGAUUUGUAAAAGACUAUCACCACAAAAUGCCGAUUUAAUCUAGUUCCACAUUUUUUUUUUUUUGUAAGCAGUUCUAUUUUAUUCAACAAAAAACAUUUUAAAGUUGUCAUCAAUUGAAAUCUCACAACACAAAAAGUGAGAGGAGCAUUCUUGCUCUGUUCAAGGACAAGACAAACUUGUUAAAUUGACACUCGUUUUAAUUCUGUUUGCAAUUUGUGAGGAUAUACAAACAAAAACAUCUUUAAAAAUAACAAUAACAAUAAUCACAAUACCAAUGACUUGAUAUACUGAACUAGAGCAUCCAUAUUAGUAUACGACGAACCACCUUUACUUCCAGACAUUUUCACAAGUUUAGCCAUAUUUUCUGCCCUUUCCAAAAACUCAUCUUUUCUACUGAAAAUCAAAUCCCUCACUCCCUUCUCAAUAAUCAAUCUAUCACAAGUAUCUUUUAUGUCCAAUCCAAUCUUCCAAACCUCACUCACAAGCCUACUAUUAGUAGUUUGAUCAGAGAAACAAGGCCAACAUAUCAUCGGCACGCCGGCCACAAUGCUCUCGAGAGUCGAGUUCCAUCCACUGUGAGUCAAGAAUCCUCCCACCGCAGGGUGGUUGAGCACCUUCUCCUGCGGCGCCCACUCCGCAAACAAACCCAUUUCUUUGCUACGUUCCAUUAAUUCCGCCAAAACCUGAUCAUUUCCUUCAUUGUCGGUGAUGGAAUCCGGCCUAAUCACCCACAAGAACCUCUGCGCACUGUCGAGCAAGCCGUGCCAGAACUCUAACACUUGCUCCCUCGUCACAACCGCUAUGCUCCCAAAGCUCACAUAAAUGACAGAUUUAGGCGGCUGCGCAUCCAACCAAUCGAUGCAGCUCCGGUCUUCCGCCCAUAGACUCGCCUUGAUGAUUGACACAUCUGCCUUCUUCUUCAUCAGUCUAGAUUUCACUUGCUCGUGGAUUGGACCAAUGGAGAAAAUUCUCGGCACAUGCUUCUGUAUCUCUGCAAUUACCGGUCCCUCGAGAUCUUCACAAGUGUUAAAUAUGAUCCCGUCCUUCACAAUUUGGUUCCCUAUAAAUGCUUGAAGAAAAGGGUCGUUUACAUUGUCGGCACGGUAAACACUCGGCAGGUCACGCCGUCGGAGAAAACCUUCCAUUCCUGGUACACUUCUAACUAAUUCAUCCAUCGAUUUUCCUGCAAAACCCUCACAAGGAUUAUAGUGUUACAUUUUAGUGAUCUCCAUCUUUUUAUCCCAUAUUCUAUGAAGUGUAAAAUAUAAAAUAAUUGCUAAUAAUAAUAAUAAUAACACAUAUUCACAUUUUAGUAUAUUUUCACCAUAUACAAAAAAAACAUGCUUGACACCGACGGAAUUUACAGCGGAAUAUUUAAUUUUACGACGGAAUUUUUUGAUUUUACCGACGGAAUAUAUGUGGUGUAUCUGACCUCGGAAAGGAAUUUCUUGAGCUUGAAGCAGCUGAGGAAAGCAAAAAAGAGCCCAGGAGAAGGCGGCGCUAGCACUUGGGAAGAGGAUGAGCGGAAGCUGAUGCUCUCUAGCAAAGUCGGGGGCGAAGCUCAUAGCAUCGGCAACGAAGCAAGUCACGCGUCUACGGGCGGCGCCGCCCAAGAAAUUCUCCUGGACCAUCAUUUUCUUGAAGAGCGGCGCCGUGACUUUUUCGAUGGAGAAAUGAGUCCUUGGCUCCUCCCCGGCGCGGGGGUGGUCUCGGAGCCGUCGGGGAGAGCCCGGAACUCGAACCCCGGGUGCGGCGAGCGGCGACGGUGGCGUGCUCGAGGAGGCGGCGGUGGUUGAAGUCGGAGAUGAUGAAGGUGACGUGGAAGUCGGAUAAGCAGAAGAGAUGCGCGAGAUUGAGCAUGGGGUUGAGAUGGCCCUGAAGUGGAUAAGGGAAAAUCAGUACGUGCGGUGGGAGAUCUUUUCCUGGUUCUGAGCUCAUCUUCUUCUAACUCAAAUCUUGCUAAAUCUCUUGAGAGAGAGAGAGAGAGAGAGAGAGUUGCACAUUUAUUUCACCAUAUAAGGUGUAUAAACACAACCACCGACACACGCGUAUCGGCUAAAUAAAUCUUAAUUAUAAAUUAAUGGUGCAAUUAGGCAUAAAUAGGGAUGUAAUCGAACUGAAUAGUGGUGUACUCAAGUUUGAUUUAUCUAGUAUCGAAUCGAAUUCCGAACUUUACUUACCGAAUACUUUGAGGCUCACGAGCCUAAUCGAGCCUAUACGAACUUUCUAAAUUUAUAUUUAUAUAUAUAUCUAUUCAAAAUAUUGAUUAUUUUAUUUUUAAAAUAAAAUAUUUUAUUCAAAAUAAUAAAUAUAUUAAUUAUUUUCUUAUAACAAACAAAAUUAAUUAGAGAUUUAAUAAAAUUAUUAUUAAUUUUAGUGGAUAAAUAUAAGUUGUAUCUACUAAUAAUUUAUAUUUUUCAAGCUGAAUCACUUGACGAACAUGCUCACAAGGUAACGAACUGAAUACUACUAAGCUCAAAUUUGGUUUGUUUAUUUAUCGAACUUUUCUAAAUGAACUUGAACGAUCUUUUUUAGAGUCGAGCUCCGAAUAGUUCAUGAGUGGCUUGAUUUGUUUACAGCCUAGGCAUAAAGAUUUGGAGGGAGGCAUUACAAUAUUCAAUAAAACUAUGCAAUUGUAGCCACCACAAACUUAGUUGAAUAUGAAAAAAAUGAUUAUUUAAUUUAUUUUUAAAAUAAAAUAAGUUGUUAUUUUAUUGUAUUUAUUAUAUUGUAUUCCCUUCGUCCACUAUUAUUGUUUCAUAAUUUUUUGAUACAAAAAUUGAGGAAAAAGUGUAAAAAUAGUAGGACCACACCUUUUGAAGAAUUAGUUAUUCCAUUUUAUGGAAAAUUUGGACGAGUUGCAAAGUUCAUGAUUUAAAAUGUAAUUUUUGAAGUUCGUGUGCAAAAUCAAAAAUUGACUAAUGCAAUUAACCCUUUUAAUUAUUGACUUAAUGAUUGGAGAAGAAUCGUCUUAUCAAUUGAUCAUGUUUUGUAUCUGAAUUAUUCUAGCUAAUACUACUAUUUAAGAUGAGACAUUUUCUCCGCACACAAUAUAUUCAAAUACUUUUGAGUUCGAUGGUUUUUUAGAACAGUAUGGAAAUUAGGACAAAAACUUUCGGAUUUGUAAAAAUAGGACACUAAUAAGUGUUGCACCCGCAAGACAUUUCUCGGCCGAGAAAAUGUCCUAUUUUCGAUGCUUAUUAAUUAGUAUCCUAUUUUACUCUAAAAAAUAUUAGUGUCUUAUUUUUUACAAAUUCGAAAAUUUUUGUCAUAAUUUUCAAAUCAAUAUAAGUUACUACUCUGAUUCAAUACUUUUAUAAAACUUAUGUCACUCGCUGAAGACUUUUUAUUAAGAAUCACUACUACAAAAAACUAAUACUUGACACUGCAUACAUGACGCUUUUUAUGAAAAAGCGUCAUGUAUGAGCGCUCUUUUAGUAUAUAUGACGUUUGGAAAAAAAAACGUCAUGUAUGUAGUGUCAUGUAUUGAAUAUAUGACGGUUUGCUGACAGUUUCAUAAAAAAACGUCAUGUAUGAGCGUCGUUUAUACAUAGUAUACAUGACAUUCAUUACAAAGCGUCAUAUAUGUGCGUUGAUUUUAAUUCUAUACAUGACAGUUAUACAAAUUGUCAUGUAUAUUAAUAAACAAACCGUCAUUAAUUAUAUAAUUCUUGACAUUUUUCACAAAAAAAUAAAUUAAAAUGCAAGGAUCAAGAAUCGAAGUAUCGAAGAAUUAACCUCUAGCUUUUUUUUUUUGAAAUUAUUUGUGUCUCUACAUUUUUCUAUCUUUUCUUCGAUAAAUCAAAAUUAUUUAAUUUAAUAUUAAGAAAAAGAACUCAUAAUUUAAAUAUGAAAAAAAUUUGAGUGAAUUUUUAUUGUAAUGAUUUUUAUUAAUCAUUAAAAAUAAAUUUUAUGUUUUAAAUAUUUUAAAAAUAAGAAUGAAUUAUACCUAUUUCUACACUGCCUUAGACUACAUGAUUUAAGUGUUCAACAAAGCAAAGCAAAGCAAAGCAAAUUAAAUUGCUUUAAUUCAUAAAUCGGAAAGAAAGAAAAAAAGAAAAAGCAAAAAAAAAAGAACAAAAAAAAAUAAUUUCAACUUUCUCUUCGUUUAUCUUUCCCCAAAUGCCAAAGAAAAACCCUUGCAGCGAAUUCCCCAAAUCCACCGCGAGAAAGCUUCCAUCUUCGACGAGAAUUUAUUCUCCAAUCCUUAACCUCUGUGAUAUGGCGAUAUCGCCGGUGAAAUCUGGGUAGGGUGGUGGCGAUAGCAUCGGACGGCCAAAACGUCGAUUUGGUCUGGACGUUAAAGCUCGAUGGCGCGGUCCACGACUGUUUGCCGCUGCCUUUGCUCUUCGAGAAGUUCCACAAUCUCCAGCACCUUUCUAUGGCCAACAUCGGCGGCUCGUCGCUGGAGCAGUUCCCCCGCCUCCAAAAUUUUCAGCGAAUUUAAAUAUUUAGCUUUUAUUUUGAUUUAGUUUUUAUAAAAUCUAACUUUGAGAAAUUGUUUGAUUACAUGUGCGAGAGUUUGUAUCUAAUAGUUUUGAUCUUAGAAGCUGUCGCCGCGCCGCCCCUCCGCUGGUCGCUAUUGCGCCGCCGAGGGCCGCUCCAGAUCCUGCCCUAGCUAAAAAAUUCCGAAGAGAGGACCGAACUGCUCCUCGUAUUUGUAUUUGCAAGAAUGUAAGUAUCAUUUAUAUGUUGAUUAACCUACAAUUUUCGAGCUUUGGAAACACAAGAGUAUUGAAUGCAAUAAGAGCCUAUGCUCUGUCAACUAUCAACUAUUGGUUGUGUCCUUACUGUAUUGAGUGUUCAAUGAGAUCACAUAAAGGAUUGAUUCACUUUUUAGAAGCCUAUGCUCAUGUUAUUGUUUUGGAAUUCUCAAGCAUUUGUUUUUCUUAGCUGUAAUGCACUUUCAUAUUGAACUACUAAAUUGAUGUAAGAGUUAUGAUGGAUAUGCAAAUAGUUCAACACAAUUUUUUGCAUUUAUAUAUUGUGCUUACUUAGUGCAAAAUAGUGAAGUAUGUAUGGAGAUGGAUAAACCAUGUGCUGCUGAAAAUUGAAUAACUUAUAGUUAUGGUAUAUGGAUUAUUAGCAGAAUGGCUUGCCAUUUUGACGGUGGUUGACAUACUGCUUGUGAGUACUACCUGACAUUUUUGUGGAGGCACUCAAGUGCAUUUUAGCAUAUUGAUAGUUGUGCUCAUGUUAGUUCAGAAUCUCCUCUAUGCUAUCAUAUUUGAUGAUUAGCUCAGUAUGAGAUUUUAGUUUUUAGGACUUUGAGUCAGAGAGGAAAUGGAAGCUGGAUAAGGCAACUAAAGCUGCUAGAAGCUUAGAUCGUGUCAUCAUCGAUAGAGAUCUUAAACCUAUGCUACCUAGAAUUACAUAAAGGAAGUAAGUUUUAUUAGUACUUAACCUUUGCAUUGUUUCUCAAUGUUCUGCUGCUUUCUCAAUUGUGGAGGAAUAUAUCUGAAACACAUUACAUUUUAUUUAUUUAUUUUCAUUGUUAGUUCAUUGUUGGGCAUUUUUAUUGCCCAUUAAGUUAAUACUCUUAUAUACAAGAAGCAAAGCAUUGUACCACGUUAUGCUGAUUCAUGAGUUUUUCAGGGUAACCCUGGCUGUUACAUGUUUUGUUUUCUACAGAUUGUUGCUCUUAAUUUUUGGAGAUUUUUAUAAUGUGCAGUAUGCCAAAAUGUAUACUGUAUUCAUGGUGCAAUUACAGGUACUGUAUAAUCUCUCAGUUGCUAUAUGGUCUUUGCAUCUUUCAGUUAUGCCUGAGCUAGGUCUAAGUUCUAGGCUACCUGCUGAUUCUUUAUAUUUUCAUUGUUGCCUAUCAGAACAUUCUUCCAUCGAAUACAAAUUUCAUUGAGGCUUAUGAAAAUAUCACUAUGAUUUCAAAAUAUUCAAUCCUAUAGACUAUUUGAGAAAUUUAAUCUAUUGAAUUUUAAUUCUCUUUGAAAUGUAUGGAAGAUGUUAAUGCUAACUUUCUUUGCCUUUGUAGAUUGACUGGUGAAAUGAAGAAGUUCGCUCAUUGAAGACAUGGAUAUUCAAAGUCAAUGAUUUUUAGGAUUCUAAUAUUAUCGAAUACUUUUGUAAAUAUAUUAUGAUGUGUAUGUAGUAUUUUCAAUGUUGAAUGUUUAAUGUACGAGCAUGUUGGAUGCUUAUUUAUGAUAUUGGAUGAUUAUUUAAUAUAUACAUUGUUUUGAAUAUUUUAUGCUGUUUAUUGGUUUUUAAAAUUGAAGAAAAUAUAGAAAAUAAUAUAUUCAAUUCUGAAAAGAGCAUAGAUGACGGUUCGUAACCGUCAAGUAUACAUAUAUAUAUAAAUGUCAAGAAUGCUUACAUAUAUGACGGUUAGUAAGUGUCAAAUAUAAUUACAUAAAGCGUCAUGUUUUGUGCUAUUCAUGACGAUUUGAAACCGUCAAGAAUAAUAUUGCUAGUGUCAUGUAUAUUAUUAUACUUGACGGUCAAAAAAUCGUCAAGUAUACUUAUAUAACCGUCAUAAAUACUGAGUAUACAUGACGGUUUAUAACCGUCAUCUAUAGUAGGGAGUAUACACUACACCACUAUACUUGACAGUUUUUAGAUGACAUAGAUGACGGUUUUUAGCCGUCAUAUAUGAGCAUUUUUGUAGUAGUGAAUGAAGGAGAAGUAAUAAAAUAAGUAUCCCAUUUUGUGGUGAACUCUUUUUCUUGAGUGACUAGCUAGCAAAAAGAGUACGUCCGCUCGUACAUAAAAUAAUGAUUCUAUCAAAAAAUAUCUGACAAAUUUAUUUCAUAGAAAUUUUUAAUAUUUUAUUUCAUAUGUAGUUUUAAUUUGUAAUUAUGUUAUGUCAAUUUUAUCUAUUGCAUAAUGGAUAGAUCGAGAUUCGAGACCGGAUUAACAUAGUAUGGGGUUGAAUUUAACUUCUGUUUUGUAUUUAGGAAAUACAAGUCAUCAAUUUUUUUGAAUAUGUAAUAUGUUAAGGGUGUCUUGUUUUUUAGACAUAGACAGCGGUACCAUUAUUUAUACGAAAAGUACAACAUAUCGAUUUUUCGGUAUCUUGGUCCACCCCGAACAAUAACAAUAAUCAAAUGACCAACGAUUUGAUAUACUGAACUAGGGCAUCCAAAUUAGUAUACGAUGAACCACCUUUACUACCAGACUUUUUCACAAGUUUAGCCAUAUGAUCUGCCCUUUUCAAAAACUCAUCCUUUCUCACUUCCAUCAAAUCUCUCACUGAUUUCUCAAUAAUCAAUCUAUCACAUGUAUCUUUUAUGUCCAAUCCAAUCUUCCAAACCUCACUCACAAACCUACUAUUAGUUGUUUGGUCACCGAAAUAAGGCCAACAUAUCAUCGGCACGCCAGCCACAAUGCUCUCGAGAGUCGAGUUCCAUCCACUGUGUGUCAAGAAUCCCCCCAGGGCCGUCUCUGAGGGCGGGCGAGCAUGGGCGACCGCCCAGGGCCCAUCAUUUUCGGGGGCCCCAAAAUUUUAUAUCCUCUUAUAUAUACUAUUAUUAUUAUGGGUCCAAUAUUUUGUUUUUUAUGUAUACUACUAACUUUAAAAAAAAUUGGGGCCCAAAAAAUUACAUCCCAAAAGAAUUUUGGAGCCCAAAUAAAUUACAUCACUAAAUAUUUUUGGAUAAUAGCGUGAUGCUGAAAUCUUUAAUUUUUUUCUGAUGUCUGUUGAAGUUGAGGAUAUUAGUGAGAAUAUAGAUAACUUGAGCGAGCAUUAUCGCCUUCUUAAUAUACCAAAUGACGAACAUAUAGCCAUGAUGAACAUUUUAUUCCUUCAUGUGAUAUAUACGAGAAAUUGGGAUAAUAUUGAUAAUAAUACACGUGAUAUUUUAGUUGAAAAAUGGCCUAUUAGAGAAAUGAAUCUUGUAUUUUCUUUAGACAAUAUCUCUAGGCAUUUUUCUUAUGCUCACUAUACUAUAAAAUUAAUCAAUGGUGAGGUGCAAGAUCGAAAGUGGUUCGUAUAUAGUAAAAAUAUUUGUCAAAUACAUGUUGUGAAAGUCGUAUUAAAAGUGCUCGAGCAAUUAGAUUUCAGUCUGUUGAAUUGAGAGAUGCUUUAUUAAAAUUAUGUGAUAUUUGUGAUGAUGCAAAGUCGAAAAGUGAAGCUGAAAGUUUAAGUGCAUCAAUUGAAAAUUGAAAAUUUUUAUUUGGUAUAGUUAUUUGGUAUGACAUUUAAUUUGCUGUAAACAUGAUGAAUAAAAAGUUACAAUCCAAAUAUCUUUGCAAGUAGUAUAGAUGACUUAUCGUGGACGGAGGGAGUAUUAUAAAUGAUUUUGCAAGUAAAAAGACGAGAAUAAAUCACUUUUUAUAUUAUUAAUACUUUAUUUUUAUCGAAAUAUUAUAAUGUGACUUAAGAAAAAGUAUUAUCUUGUGCUUUUAUGAUGGUGGAUAGGGGCCCAUUUCUAUCAUUUCGCCCUGGGCCCAUUUUUAAUCAGAAACGGCCCUGAAUCCCCCCACUGCGGGGUGGUUGAGCACCUUCUCCUGCGGCGCCCACUCCACCAACAGACCCUUUUCUUUACUACGUUCCAUUAAUUCCGCAAAAGCUUGUUCAUUUCCUUCAUUGCCAGUGAUGGAAUCCGGCCUCAUCACCCACAAGAAACUCUGCGAACUGUCGAGCAAGGCGUGCCAGAACUCUAACAGUUGCUCUCUCGUCACAAGUGUUAUGCUCCCGAAGCUCACAUAGAUGACAGAUUUAGGUGGUUGCGUGUCCAGCCAAUCGAUGCACCUCCGAUCCUCUGCCCAUAGACUCGCCUUGAUGACGGAGACCUCCGCCUUCGUCUCCAUUUGUCUGGAUUUCACUUGCAAGUGGAUUGGACCGACGGAGAAAAUUCUCGGUGCAUGCUUCUGUAUCUCUGCAACUACAGGUCCCUCGAGAUCUUCACAAGUGUUAAAUAUGACCCCUUCCUUCACAAUUUGAUGCCCUAUUAACUCUUGAAGAAUCGGGUCGUUUACAUCGUCGGCACGGUAAAAACUAGGCAGGUCACGCCGUCGGAGAAAACCUUCCAUUCCUGGUACACUUUUAACUAAUUCAUCCAUCGAUUUUCCUGCAAAAACCUCAUAGAGAUUAUAGAGUUACAUAUACAUAUCUCUCUUUGGUUGUAAAUUUUCACAUUUUAGUGGUCCCAUCUUUUUAUCCCAUAUCCUAUAGGGUAUGUAAAAAAAUAAAAAUGAUUGCCAAACUGACCUCGGAAAGGAAUAUCUUGAGCUUGAAGCAGCUGAGGAAAGCAAAGAAGAGCCCAGCAGUAGGAGGCGCUAGCAGUGUGAAAGAUGAUGAGCGGAAGCUGGUGCUCUCUUGCAAAGCCGGGAGCGAAGCUCAUAGCAUCUGCAACGAAGCAAGUCACCCGUCUACGGGCGGCGCCGCCCAAGAAAUUCUCCUGGACCAUCAUUUUCUUGAAGAGCGGCACCGUGACUUUUUCGAUGGAGAAGAUGAGGUCCAGGGCUCUCUCCCCGGUGCGGGGGUGGUCGUCGGGGAGGCCGUCGGGGAGAGUGCGGAACUGGAACCCCGGGUAGCGGGCGAAGGCGGCGAGGGCGGUGGUGUGCUCGAGGAGGCGGCGGUGGUUGAAGUCGGAGAUGAUGAAGGUGACGUGGAAGUCGGAUAGGCAGAAGAGAUGCGCGAGAUUGAGCAUGGAGUUGAGAUGCCCCUGAAUCGGAUAAGGGAAAAUCAGCACGUGCGGUGGCAGAUCUUUUCCUUCUUCACAGCUCAUCUUCUUCCAGUUCUGAACUUCCAAUUUAAUGGCUUUUGUUUUCGUUUCUGACUUCUGAGUAUUGCAAUUUAUAGAUGAAAUGAAUGACAAAUUUUGUUGUCCCACUUUUCAUGUCCACCGCUUAUUCCACUGUCAUGUUUUUAUAGUUUUUAAUUGGGUAAAUAAUGAAAAACCCGUGAACUAUAUUCACUUUAUCAAAAAUACUUUGAAACUUUUGAAAUGUUCUCUAAACACUCAAACUAUCAUGUUUUUAUCAAAUUUAUUUUGCAUCUAUUUUUUUCAAUUUUUCAACCUACAGUAUAUAUUAAUGCAGGAAAGUGACGUGAGUUGGCAUUUAUGGCAUAUUUCUGACAUUGUGUAAGAACUUUUACAAAAAACCAAACAUGCCUAUCACCAUCACUUUUGCUUUUGGGUAAUGUGGGUAGUUUUGUAAGAUAGAUUAUAAGAGUGGGUAGAUUAAAUUUCGACCCAAAAUAUAUAUUAGCCUAUUUUUUCAAAAUGCCCCAACAUAAAUAAUUUUAAACUCUUCAGAAUGAAUCUUAAUUUUCAUUCAAAAUGAGUCAUUUAUUUAUAUGGCAAAAAAAUUCUCGUUUAUUCAUCUUUUCACAUUUUCACCUACUACACUUAACACAUUAAAAAUUGUUUUCUUAAUUCUCGUGUCGAAAAGAAUUGAUUCAAGGUUCACGGGAACGGAGGGUGUAGAAUAUAUAUGGUGUAUCUGACCUUGGAAAGGAAUUUCUUGAGCUUCAAGCAGCUGAGGACAGCAAAACAUAGCCCAGUAGAAGGCGGCGCUAGCAGUUUGGAAGAGGAUGUACGGAAGCUGAUGCUCUCUCGCAAACUCGGGGGCGAACCUCAUAGCAUCGGCAACGAAGCAACUCACGCGUCUACGGGCGGCGCCGCCCAAGAAAUUCUCGUCGAGCAUCAUUUUCUUGAAGAGCGGCACCGUGACUUUUUCCAUGGAGAAGAUGAGGUCCAGGGCUCUCUCCCCGGCGCGGGGGUGGUCGUCGGGGAGGCCGUCGGGGAGAGUGCGGAACUGGAACCCCGGGUAGCGGGCGAAGACGGCGAGGGCGGUGGUGUGCUCGAGGAGGCGGCGGUGGUUGAAGUCGGAGAUGAUGAAGGUGACGUGGAAGUCGAAUAAGCAGAAGAGAUGCGCGAGAUUGAGCAUGGGGCUGAGAUGGCCCAGAAGUGGAAAAGGGAAAAUCAGCACGUGCGGCGGCAGAUCUUUACCUUGUUCAGAGCUCAUCUUCUUCCAAUCUGAUCUAGGAAUUUAAAAGCUUUUGUUUUCGUUUCUGAGUCUUGCAAUUAUCAGAUGAAAUGAAUUAUUGAAUUGAGGCACAAACUCAUUCUCCCACUUUUGAUGUCCCACCACUUAUUCCAUUAUCUAUCCUUGUGAUUUGAAUUAUUGGUUUAAUGAUUGGAGAAAAAAAGUCUUAUUAACUGAGUUGUGUUUCACUAUCUUAUUCUAACACUAUUUUAAGGCAAGACACUUUCACUUCUCACAAUACACUUUUUUUUUUUUUAAGGUAAAUAAGAUAAAUAAAAGGGGUACUUAACCCAAAAGGUACAUAAGAGCAUAUUACAUGACAAGUUAGAACUUGGAAGGAAAACAACGGAUCGGAUCAACAAACCAAUCGUGAACCGAACAACAAAAGUUACUAGACAACAUCGCCUUAAUCCUUCUCCAAGAGCAAAAGAUAAUGUUAUCCACAGCCGAAUCAACGCAUCUAUUUUUAAAGAUUCUCUCAUUUCGAGCUUUCCAACUCCAACAAGCACAUUGCCAGAUCAUGUUAAACAUCGAUUUUUCCAUCUUGUUCUUGCCAUUCACAAUACACUUACAUAUUUUUAUAAAACUUAUGUCACUCACGCAAAUCGAAGCGAGUAAUAAAACAACACAAAUUAAUUCUCCUAUGAGAUUGAGUGUAUGGGUGAGACGGGUCGGGUCGAGGUUGGUUAAUAAUUUAAAAUAAUUAUUGUUGUGAUGAAAAGUAAUAUAUAUCUUGAAAAAUACAUGUCAUCAACUUUUUUGAUAUAAGGUAUCAUUAUAUUAUUUAUGAAUAAUGUUGUUUUUGUUGAAUUUUGGAGACGGCUGAAAUCAUUAUUUUUUAUAUUAAAAAAACAAGCAACAGAAACAUUUAUAUAGGCUUAAAUAGAAAUAAAAAAACAAUUAUGUACUGAGUUGGGUUCUCUAUUUGAAUGGGCCCAUUGAGGAAAUUUUCAGACAACACUACGACAGGCUUGACAAAAUAAAUUGCCAUUGUAAAAGACUAUCACCACAAAAAUGCCGAUUUAAUCUAGUUCCACCAUUUUUUUUUUUGAAGCAGUUCUAUUUUAUUCAACAAAAAACAUUUUAAAGUUGUCAUCAAUUGAAAUCUCACAAACACAAAAAGUGAGAGGGAGCAUUCUUGCUCUGGUUCAAGGACAAGACAAACUUGUUAAAUUGCACACUCGUUUUAAUUCUGUUUGCAAUUUUUGAGGAUAUACCAACAAAAACAUCUUUAAAAAUAACAAUAACAAUAAUCACAAUACCAAUGACUCGAUAUACUGAACUAGAGCAUCCAUAUUAGUAUACGACGAACCACCUUUACUUGCAGACAUUUUCACAAGUUUAGCCAUAUUUUCUGCCCUUUUCAAAAACUCAUCUUUUCUCACUUCCAUCAAAUCCCUCACUGCCUUCUCAAUAAUCAAUCUAUCACAAGUGUCUUUUAUGUCCAACCCAAUCUUCCAAACCUCACCCACAAACCUACUAUUAGUGGUUUGGUCACCGAGAUAAGGCCAACAUAUCAUCGGCACGCCGGCCACAAUGCUCUCGAGAGUCGAGUUCCAUCCACUGUGCGUCAAGAAUCCCCCCACUGCGGGGUGGUUGAGCACCUUCUCCUGCGGCGCCCACUCCACCAACAGACCCUUUUCUUUACUACGUUCCAUUAAUUCCGCAAAAACUUUUUCAUUUCCUUCAUUGCCAGUGAUGGAAUCCGGCCUCAUCACCCACAAGAACCUCUGCGAACUAUCGAGCAAGCCGUGCCAGAACUCUAACAGUUGCUCUCUCGUCACAAGUGUUAUGCUCCCAAAGCUCACAUAGAUGACAGAUUUUGGUGGCUGCGCGUCCAACCAAUCGAUGCACCUCCGAUCCUCUGCCCAUAGACUCGCCUUGAUGAUGGAGACCUCCGCCUUCUUCUCCAUCAGUCUGGAUUUAAGUUGCUCGUGGAUUGGACCAAUGGAGAAAAUUCUCCGCACAUGCUUUUGUAUCUCUGCCAUUACCGGUCCCUCGAGAUCUUCACAAGUGUUAAAUAUGACCCAUUCCUUCACAGUUUGAUGCCCUAACUCUUGUAGAAUCGGGUCGUUUACAUCGUCGGCACGGUAAAAACUGGGCAGGUCACGCCGUCGGAGAAAACCUUCCAUUCCCGGUACACUUUUAACUAAUUCAUCCAUCGAUUUUCCU
rnacentral:lncRNA from 1 species